UUCAGGAGUGAAGCUGCUCUCUGCUGGACUGGGGAGUCCACACUGUACACUGGAAACUCUCAGCCUCAAUGGCUGUGAUCUGUCAAAGGGAUGCUUUGAAGGUCUGGCCUCAGUUCUCAGCUCCAACUCCUCUAGUCUGAGAGAGCUCGACCUGAGUACAAAUGAUCUGCAGGAUUCAGGAGUGAAGCUGCUCUCUGCUGGACUGGGGAGUCCACACUGUACACUGGAAACUCUCAGGUCAGUUUCACUCAAUGGUCAAACAGUUCCACCACAAUUUCCACAUCAAAGGACCAGUAUUGAUCUGCUGUGCCCCAGUAUUGAUCUGCUGUGCCCCAGUAUAAUCUCACGUCUGAGUUUCAACAAGAUCCAUAUUUGGCAGUGGAUUAAUUUAGACAGUAAAACAAUGGAUUAUUUUCUAAUCCACAACGUCAAAGCAACACUGUUUAACCAAAAGUACAAGCUGAGGCGCGUCAAAGCAACACUGUUUAACCAAAAGUACAAGCUGAGGCGCGCACCUUGCGGUCAGGGUCCGUACACUGCGGCGUGCACAUUACUGUCGGUGCACGGCAGUGUGCAUGUCUUAGCCGGUGCACCGCGGCGCGCACGCAGCAAUCCGUUGAUCCUGGUUCAUUUAAUAGUCUGAUGGAUAAAUGCUGCUUGUGAAAUCGAUUGUUGCCAUGCAUUCUUUUAUUUUACAUUUCCCACCCAUGCAUGUUCUGUAAUUAAAAUAAACAUUUCCCAGAUGUACACACAGCGUUGUUUAGGUUUUUUUAGUCAGAGAAGCUACGUAGGCAGUGUAUACCAUUCUCAACCCCCGUUUUGAGUAACUGGAUCCACCCCCCCUCUGCGCUCCGGGACGUCCCACUUUACAAAUUAACGUAAGCACUGAUAGGGGGUCUGUUUCUGUUUUUACCAGCAGCGCCGUGACAUCGCUUACCUCACCAACCAACUCUUCAUCCUCCUCCUCCUCCAUCAAAUACCUACUUACAAUAACCGGCUGCUGAUUGGAUAAAAUACUCCAUUUAGGAUUUAUUUUCUUCUCUUGGUCAUCCUGAAUAGUGCAUUUCUUUACAUGCUCUUGAAUAACGCUUGUGCUGCGGUGACAUUUAAAUGAAACUUUGCACAAAGUACAAACCAGUGUUUUAGUUUUCUGAUUAAAGCAGAGUGUCUACAGGGGAACUUAAGUGGGUCGUGUUUCCCAAUAGAGCAGUCACAUCGGCGCUGCAAUACAGCCGCUAUUUAACCCAGCACUGAACUAAACCUUGGCAGUCUGCGUGCAUCACAGCGCCAUUACCACUCAUCUUAUCAAACACAAGACCUCAAUCUCACUCUAUUUGUGUUGCCAUGAGAGUAAAAGGUGUACCUUGGAUUCAGUUUGUUAAUGAUGGUAUAAGGUGUUUGUUUUAUUAUAUUCCUAUUCUAUUCAUAAUCAUGUAGUCGGACAGUAAGGUGGACUUUAGAGUAGAGUUCUUCUUAGAACUGGCUCUUUUUAUGGACAUUUUCUGGAUUUUGCUGAAUCUUUAGUUAUCUGAAUUCAAAGUUUUUCAUAUUUUCAAGAUCUACUGUAUUGACAUUUAGUUGAACUAAAGAAACGUCUAAUAACAAAUUUCAAAUUCAACAUUAA